rnacentral:rRNA from 1 species
ACGAACGCUGGCGGCGUGCUUAACACAUGCAAGUCGAACGCAAAGGCCCUGCUUUUGUGGGGUGCUCGAGUGGCGAACGGGUGAGUAACACGUGAGUAACCUGCCCUUGACUUUGGGAUAACUUCAGGAAACUGGGGCUAAUACCGGAUAGGAGCUCCUGCUGCAUGGUGGGGGUUGGAAAGUUUCGGCGGUUGGGGAUGGACUCGCGGCUUAUCAGCUUGUUGGUGGGGUAGUGGCUUACCAAGGCUUUGACGGGUAGCCGGCCUGAGAGGGUGACCGGCCACAUUGGGACUGAGAUACGGCCCAGACUCCUACGGGAGGCAGCAGUGGGGAAUAUUGCACAAUGGGCGGAAGCCUGAUGCAGCAACGCCGCGUGCGGGAUGACGGCCUUCGGGUUGUAAACCGCUUUCGCCUGUGACGAAGCGUGAGUGACGGUAAUGGGUAAAGAAGCACCGGCUAACUACGUG